rnacentral:rRNA from 1 species
UACGGAGGGUGCAAGCGUUAUCCGGAUUCACUGGGUUUAAAGGGUGCGUAGGUGGGUCUGUAAGUCCGUGGUGAAAUCUCCGAGCUUAACUUGGAAACUGCCAUGGAUACUAUAGGUCUUGAAUACUGUGGAGGUCAGCGGAAUAUGUCAUGUAGCGGUGAAAUGCUUAGAUAUCGUCAAGAGCACCAAUAGUGAAGACAGCUUACUGGGCUUAAACUGACGCUGAGGCACGAAAGUGUGGGGAUCAAACAGG